UCUCUGUGAUGAUACCAAUCAAGGCUUGUUUCUCUAAACAUUCGCAAUGGCUGCCUAAGAGCAUGCUAAUGUUGCUUUUUCCUUCCUUGGAUGUCUGAGACU
rnacentral:snoRNA from 1 species